UAUAUACUCCCUCCGUUCGGAAUUAGUUGUCGCAAAAAUAGAUGUAUCUAGAUGUAUUUUAGUUCUAGAUACAUCCAUUUCCGAGACAAGUAAUUCCGAACGGAGGGAGUAUCUC
rnacentral:pre_miRNA from 1 species